CCUGUCGCCAUCUAGGCCAAGCUGACCACCCUGGAAAGCGAGCCCGAUGCCAUCGAGGGUAAUCUGUGCUACGUGUGGAGCAGCAAAUAUUGCGAUAAGUAAUGACCACUAGAUAACGGCUUCGAACUUGAUUGAGUAAAGGACCAAAACGAUAGCGGGAAUUCGGAGGAGAUUUGGAUCUGAUAGGGGAUAGUGAUGGUCACGGAUUAUUUCAGCGAACCAGGGCACACUCAAUUCCGUAUUUGACGGAGGUUCCUGCUGAACCGGAACGGGAUCUCCUGCGACCGGGUCGAUAUUCUUGUCGAAACCGAAAGUCAUCAAACGGCCUCAAGACGUAUUCUAAAGCUCCACUUCUACAGCCGGCGGCUGCAUUCUGUCACUUGAUUUCUGCUUGAUCAAAUCCGUUAAAGGUUUUCAGUUGUUUGGUUCCAGGUUAUGAUGGUGUGGGUUUUGACCCCUGAGUCACAACGAACUUCGAUUCUGUUGUGCGCCAAAUUCAGUAGGCCUACGAGCUGUAAAAAAGCUGAUUAAUCAAGAGUCCGAAUAAAGCGGGUUGGGGUUAUUGGGGAUUGUU